CUUAAAUAUGGAGCGACGCUAUAUAUAUAUAUGUAUAUAUAUACCACCUAUCAAAACAUUGACAAUCAAAGGGGCUGUUCUUCUUGUUCUUCUUCGUUUUGUCUGUCGUCGGUAUCAACGGCUACAAACAUGUAAAGAUAAAAGCCAGGAGGAGUUGAGGUUUUAGGACUACCAGUUAGGUGAUAAAGGAAAAGAAAGUACAACACCAUCUGCUCAAGAGUUCUGGUUUUGGGAAGUCCGCAUUUAGUAUUAGUCUUAAAGGUAGAAGAAAAACAUUAUUUAUUGCAACUCUAGUGAUAAUUGCACAACACCGGAGGUGGACAAGUUCAAUCCGUUAGUGGAAUGCAGACUUAUCAAGAAAAGGCCAGGAGGAGUUGAGGUUUGAGGACUACAGUUAGGUCAAAAGGUUAGUCUUCAUUUAGUGUUUCCAAUGCACAGGGAGUGUCAUCGACAAAACUAGGCCUUUCAUAUCAUUAGUAUUUAACCAAUCAACUGUUGAUCAACCUUUUUAUCCUCAUUUUAAAUACAUUUGCAGUGGAAAUAACAGGGCUUGACAUAAUAAAAUGAAAAAUUCUACAGAAACUGCAUCUACCCAUUUCCGAAGUCAUAACAGUUCAUUUUCCAUAUAUUUCCCCCAAUACAUCAUUGAUAAACUCUUGUGCACUUGAAGUAGAGUUGAAUCUAGUGCCUCAGAUGUUUCUCCUUUCUCCAUGAUCCAUGUUCAGUGUCACCUUCCUAGUAUACUUGGUUACCAAAACUAUCAGGCCACUCCUGCUUUGUCAAAAGAACUUUUCUCCCUCUCCUGUUUUAACUAUAGGAGGCCAUCCACAAUCGACAUUAUGUUUCAAGUACUCCACUUGCUGCUAGUUAAAAUACUUUUAAUUGGACAAGGCGGUGAUUAGCCAAGUAUCAAAUCCUACAGAAUGUGUCUCAAGGAUCCUACCAAGUUUAGGUUUACGUUCUUGAACAAAUGAUUUAUUUGCCUUUUCCAUUCAGCAUUGCAUCGUACAUUAUGCUUAUGUACUUGUGAAAGACAUAUGAUGCCUGUUGGAUGAAGUGGACAUAUGGAGAAGUGAGAACCUUGGUGCACGGCAGCUUUGGAUGCUGAACAUUACUUGCAAGAAAUCGUGCCCAAGAGGGGUCUUACUUUCCGAGAAUCAUGGAAGUGAAUCCAUCACCAAUUAUGCCUCCUGCUUUUCCUAGAAUCAUGGAAGUGAAUCCAUCACCAAUUACGCCUCCUGCUGAAACACAACCUUCAGUCCCAAUCUCGGUAGAGCAUCCGAACUUGGCAGCAUUCAUCCAGUAUGGAAUUUCUAAUUUACCUGUCUCUAACAACCCUGCUAUGAUCAGACAAAAAUAUUCAUCGAUAAUUCGACAUUCAUCUCUAAGUAAGCAUAUGUUGCACCGAAAUACAAACCUACAAGUGAUAUACCAAAGGAUAAGUUGCCAAAAAAGAGAUUAAGAGGAAAAGGGACAGAAGUAGAUGUGUUAUUUGCAACAGAUGCAAAAAGGAAACAUAGAUUCAGUUACUUGACGAAAAAGAAAAGAGCAAUGAAGUGGAACCAACAAAACAUGGAGGAGUUACGGAUAAAUUGUUGUAUCUUUUCCGUAUGAUUGUAGUCUUUCUUGAUAUAAUGGUAAGGUUACUAAAAUAGAUUCAGGUACCGGUGCUUUGAUUUGUCGGGUGAGUAUUUUAGAAAAAUUCUAGCUAUUAUGUUGCUUUAAAAAAUAAAAGUGCAUUUGCUUUGUCAAUUUAAGUUUUAGAUGAGUUCUUUAAUAUGGUAUUAGAGCGGACAAAGAUUCAAUAUUUGAGUAUUACUGUCACUCGUAAUUAAAAUUAUUCCAUGUGCUUGGGAGCCCACAUAUAGGGGGUUGAACCCCUUUGACAUUUCUUCAUCUGAAAAUAAUUCUUGUUUUGAGAACACAGAGCCAUUUUUAAUAAUGACUCUCUAGCUUCUCUUUAGUGUAGCUAUUAUUGGAAAGUGUAAUGUCUUAUCGACUUGUCCUAGUAACUUAAAAGGAGAUCGAAAAGACUUUUUAGUAGACUUACUUUUAAACUUUUUGUGGCUGAGCAUACCUUAUGCAGAGGCUGAUAUAUUUCUUCAAUAAUAAGAUGUUCAUCUCCAUAUACAGAAGAAAAUUCAAUAGCAGCAGCAUUUUUAUAGAACAAUUUAUGACAUACCCUUUAUGUAGUAUCCAUAUGCUGUGGAGCGAGUCCAUUAUCACAUGCAUCUGAUUUUCCAUCCUUAUUUCCAGUAGCUUCAUUUUGCAUAGCCACAACAUCUAGUACAUUGUUGUUUCUCCUGAAACACAAUGCAGACAUUACAGUUGCAAUGCCAAGCAUAUGUAUGUCAAAUGUCCGUUAUGAUGUUACAAUUUUAGUCUACUGUGUAGUCCACACCAACUGACAAACUUGUAGGCAAGAAUGCAUUAUAAACUUCGGAUUUGACAUAUUAAAUGCAUCCAAAAAGCAGAAUAGACAUGUCUAAAAAUUCCAUCCAUAAAGCGGAAGAAACUAUGAAUAUCCAGAACAAGAUAGACUAGAUAGUCUCGAACUCCCAGACUGUUGCGCGCGUCUGUUGGGGAAAUCCAUAAAGUUGGUAAGCCCAAAUUGUUUUUAGCCAACAUUGCACUAGCUUGACAAUAGGAGCUGGCUUCACAUACCAGCUUAAAUGUUAUGCAUGCAUCUAAAAAUUCACUUAUAGAUGGAUUUUACUUUGAAACAUCCAUUGAGCAAGAGACAGUAUCUUCUGCCAUUGCUGAUUGAGGCGUCGAGUGUUCUAUAGUAGUAGUUGGUGAUACUAGCAGCGUAGGUUCAUGACCAAUCUCAUUAGGAGGAACUGCCAUUGCUGAUAGAGGCGUCGAGCGUUCUGUAGUAGUAGUUGGUGAUACUAGUAGCAUAGCUCCAAGACCAAUCUCAUUAGGAGGAAUGUAUUUGUUCCUUGCAUAAAUUAGAGUAACAGGUUCAUCUUCGUCAGAUAUUAUUUCAAAGUCUGGUCCCUGGAGAUAGUUAUCAAGUGUUCUCUGGAUUUGAGCAGGUGACAAAAUGCCAUGUCUAAGCUUUGAUAUCUUUCUUCUUGGGAGAGGAUCUUUGUCUGCUUCUCCAAAAAGAUGGUGAACAUUAGUGCACAUAAAACAAUAAGUACUAAUACAAUUGAUAUUAUCAUUUUUUGUGUGUGUAGGAGUGGGGGUAAAGCUGUUGCAAAAAUUUGUAUGGUUAAAUAUAUUAGUUUUCCACUUUUUUAUAACCCUUACACUUAAGAAAGGAUGUGAUUCAUGAAACGACCUAGAUACUAUCUUACAAAUCCUUGUUGCUCCCAGAUAUGAACUCCAAGAUAAACCUUUGGAGGUCCCUUCAGGGCUUCUAAACUCCUCUCCGGUUGUAAACUGGAAUACUGUACUCCUUAGCAAAGACAGGAAGGGGAGGCUGGGAAAUUGAAAUUUGAGAUUGCAAAAUGGAAGUCUUCUGAAGAAGUCAUUGUGGAGGUACAUUGAGGAGGGAAAUGCUCUCGAGAAAGAGGUGAUUAAAGCUGAGUAUGGUGUGCUAACCCCAUGGUGUACAGAGAGCACAGUUGAACCUUACGGGGUGUGGGAGUAUGGAGAACAAUCAAAAGUUUGUGGUCACAAAUGAAGGCAGACUUUUAUAUCAAAGUGGGAAAUGACAGUAAAACAAGAUUCUGGAAGGAUGUCUGGAUAGAACAAUUUCCUCUUAGGAAUCUCUUUCAAAUUUGUGAGAUGCUAAUGUAGUUGCCUGUUGGGCCAGAAGUCAGAACAGGGAUGGGAUAUAGCCUUCGGAAGGCUUGUAAAUGAUUGGGAGGUGGAAUGGGUUGUAGAGUUACUAGGGAAGAUAGGUGGAAUAAGUAUGAAUUCAAUAAGCAGUGUCUACAGAAGAGGUCUCCAGCUGAUGGCUGGGACCCAAAACAUCUCUGACACUAUUUCUGGAAUGGGGGCAUUCCUAGAAUAGUGAGAUGCCUCACUUGGCUUGUGAUAAAGAGGGCAUGUUCAACACAGGUAGUACUACCGAAGAAGGGCAUACAAUGUUUUUAAUGUAUAUAUAAGUGAAAUUUUCUUACCAUUUGUUUCUUCCAUUUGCAUGGAUUUGUCUGGGGAUGAUCCUGCUGAACCCAAGCUUAAUAUUUUAAUCAUUUCCUCUUCGAAACAAGCUGAAGAACCAUCCUGUUCAGAAACCUCUUCACCAACUUCCAGCUUUUGGUCAUCACGAGAUAACAGAUGCGGCUUCAUCUCAGAAGCUGCAGGUUCAACACAGAUGUUCUGGCUAUGCCUCUGCCUCUGCCUCUUUGUGAUGAUUUAACUUGCUAGGUUCUCAGAAAUCUAAUGGUCAACCUGAAAAACAAAGUGAUCAUAUGAGCUAGUUGGGUUAUGUUCCGGUUUGUUUGACCCAUUUUCAACUCAUUUGCCGUCACUACUAUUAUGUUACGGGGAAUAUCUUACAUAUUCUUUGUUUAAUCUUUAUAUGGAGAUGUAUUUAGUUUUUAUGUCGUGAUAAAAUCAUCUUACAUAAGCAAAUUAAUGAUCAAUACAUGAUGGUAUAUUGAUUCCUGAAAGAAACAUAAAGUACAUUGAGUAUUGGUCACUAAAACAAGACAAGCAGGGCAUUCUUGUUGUUGACACAAAUAUCAAGUAACUUUGUUCACCAAAAUUAAGCAUAUGUCAUUAUAUUGUGUGA